CNGGAGUUGUUGUGUUUUCGGUGUCUACAAUCUUUAGCGUAUUGUCCAAAUUUCCCACAAACAAAGCAUCCUCCUUUGGUCUUCUUCUUGAACAUAUUAAGGUUCCUUGAAGGCUUCCUUUUGUUGGAUUUUAUUGGUGAUUCAUAUUUUUUACAGCAUUUAUUUUGGAAGUGCCCUCGUGAGAGUCACUUUUAUUACUCAUUCUCGACUCUUCCUCAAUCCGAAGAUGAUUUUACAAUUAUUCCAAAGAAUAAUCUUCGGAACUAUACAUUAUCUUCUUUCGGUAUCCUUUCUAAGUUUCGGAAAGUCUGGCAAUUAUAGCCCCCACUUGAAAGGUCUCCGGUAUUUCAAUUUUCAUCGCCUUCAACCUAUUGACAAUUACUUGCAUUUCAUAUAUUUGGGGAAGAAGGGGAAUAUUUUCUAAAAAUUUAAAAUCAAAGUACUAAGAAAUUAAAAAUUUCUUUGUACCUUCUUCUUUCGCUUUGUACUUGCUUUCGGGUGCAUCCCAAAUUUUCUUUAUCGAAGUUGUGUUUGUAUAUAAGUCAUACAUACGAUCCGAUAAUGCGUUGAGAAUGUGACCGUGGUAUAUUAGCUCAUCUUCUUGACGCUUUUGUCUUUCAUUUCCCACCGCUUCGAUUUCUCCAUUUGUUGGUUCUGGUAGUGGUGCAAGAUUCGGAUCUAAGAUGUAGAAGAUCUUCAAUGCAGUGAGAAGAAACUUCAAUUUGUCUUUCCACCGAAUGUAGUUUGUUCCAUCGAACCAAUCCAACCGCACUAAAUCUUGGUUCAUGAGUUUUAUGGUUGUCAUUGUAGUCUCGCUCUCCAUCGUAACAAAUAACAUUUGAG
rnacentral:lncRNA from 1 species